ACUAAAAUGCCCUUUGGUAAUAUGUUUCAUUCCGUUCUGUUCCCUUCGUUUUUCCUUUUCCUUUCUUUCUCCUUCCUUUCUCUCCUAACUUCCUCUCUCAUCGCAACUCACUCUGGUUCUUCAGACUAAUUUCUGUUGAAUUUAGGCACAACGUAGCUCGAGAUCACCACCAAACUAUUUCUAUUGAACUAAGGGGUUUGGCAAAGCUUUUCCGACCAAAUCUUUGGAUUGCAGUUGGGUGUGUUUGCUUUCACCCUUAUUCCUUCCGCCUCUAUAUAAUAUUUAAGUCGUCUAGGUUUUAUUGCUUUCCCCCUUUCUUAUUUAGUCAUCUAGGUUUUAUUGAUUUGAUUGUAUUUCGUAAAAUUAAGGGGGUUUUGUAUAUUUUUUUGGUGUCAUUUGGUUGAUUUGUAAAUUUGGUCGGUUCAAUUUUCUCAAAUUCCAUUGACUUCUUUGUUGGCUUUCACUACCUGCUUUAAAUUUUAAUUAUAUUCACAGGAUUAUAAGUACAUAGUUAGAGAUCACAUGUUUUCUUGGCUUCCAAAGUGAAGGGAAAGAAAUUACUUACCAUAUGUGGGAGGAGAUGCACCGGGAUUUCUUGUUAAUUACAAGUAAAUACUAGUAUUAUUAUUGGUUGUUCUGGUAUGAUUUCUGAAUUGAUGAUUUUAAAUCAGAUUUCGUUUAACUAUAUAUUAUAGUACAUACUAGUAUGUAGUUUUAAACUAUAUAUGGUUGGUCAAGGAGAAGCAAUGACAAGUCUUGGUUUUCGAAGGGGAUGUGUUACUUGUGAUGGCAGCUCUUCAGUAGGACGGUCAACAGGAUCACUCGCCGUUCGGAAAUAUUCUAAAUGAUACUCGCUUGAUGAUUCAGGCAUUGACCCAACGGAAUGUUGGUUUUAGCGGUAGGGAGACGAAUAAAGUGGCACACAGAUUAGCACGAAUGAGUCUGAGUUGUGAUAAUUCUAUUCUUUUGUUUGAAGAACCUCUUGAUGUAAUUGUGGAUCUUCUCUUUGAGGAUAGUAAUUCCUGGUUUGUUUGGUGCAGGACAUUCUUUUUCCUUUUGACCAGGUUGAAAUUCCCAGCAAGGUUUUAUCGAGACCCAUUGUAUGCACCCUAUCCUCAUUGAUUGUAUGUAUUUCUAUCGAUAAUGAAUAUAGUACAUUUUCUCAAACAAAUUGUAUAUGGUUUCCAAAAGGGAGAUUAAUAUGUUCAAAUGAUUUUGACUAAAUAAAUGACUAUGAUCCACUCACACUUUGUUU